UAAAUAGCUAGGCUUAACAUUGUUAGGUCGCCAGCUUCUUAGAGGGACUAUCGGUGUUUAACCGAUGGAAGUUUGAGGCAAUAACAGGUCUGUGAUGCCCUUAGAUGUUCUGGGC
rnacentral:rRNA from 1 species